rnacentral:rRNA from 1 species
CCUACGGGAGGCAGCAGUAGGGAAUCUUCCGCAAUGGACGAAAGUCUGACGGAGCAACGCCGCGUGAGUGAUGAAGGUUUUCGGAUCGUAAAACUCUGUUGUUAGGGAAGAACAAGUACCGGAGUAACUGCCGGUACCUUGACGGUACCUAACCAG